rnacentral:rRNA from 1 species
ACAUACGACCACAGACUGAGGAGAAUUGGGCAUCCCGUCCGCUCUGCCAUACACAAGCCUCAGAUNCAAGCCUCAGAUCGGUAGAUUAGUAGUUGGGUGGGUGACCACCAGCGAAUACCUACUGUUGUAUGUU